rnacentral:tRNA from 1 species
GCGCUCGUAGCUCAGCUGGAUAGAGUAUCAGAUUCCGAUUCUGAGGGUCGCAGGUUCGAGCCCUGUCGAGCGCGCCA